AUGCCGCCUGAGAACAGCAACAAGAAGAAAGUCGCCGAAAAGUUGGCCAAAAAAGCCUAAAGCCCCGGUAAAUAAAUCCAGUGGCAAGGCAAGGAGAGGAAGUGGUUCAAAGGCAAAGUUCAGGACAAGGUGAACAAUCUUGUCCUGUUUGACAAAGCUACAUAUGACAAACUCUGUCAGGAAGUUCCCAACUAUAUGCUUGUAACUCCAGUUGUGGUCUCUGAGAGACUGACUGGCCAGGGCAGCCCUUCAGGAGCUACUUAGUAAAGGAUUUAUCA
rnacentral:lncRNA from 1 species